CUUUAUUCAACUACUUCAAGGUGGUAGCAAUCCAAGUUUUGAAGUGCGAAAACACAGGAGCUCCUUACGCGCGAAAUGGGGAUUGAUGCAAAGGAGGGUGUCUGUAUCAAAUUGGAAUUUGUGUUGGCUGGUAGGUGCCAACAUGACAUUGUGCCAUAAGGUUUCCUCUCGCUUGCAUCCUGGUCACAAUGUCGCAAUUUCUAGAAAAGGAUUUCUUCCAGUUGUGCAAAUCUACACUGAGGACAGUACUAUUUUUGUUAGUUUUUCUUCUGCUUAGUUGCUUUUUGGCCUGUGAUCUUCUAGGAGCACAAGUUUGUAGGCGAGCUUGUAAAUCUUAUAGGAAAAAAGUGAGUGGCAGAACCUGGAGAAGGUACUUUCUUCUUUGAUUGCGCUUUCCAUUCCAGUUGACGAGAUUGGAUUGGAGGCAAAAAAUAACAACUGUGUCACUUGUUUUGAUGAAUAUCGAGUCUCAGGUUAGUGUAGGUUUAUAAAUUUAUUUGUGCACUUUGGUGCUUUGGAUGAUCUUUGUGGUAAGUAAAGCAGGCUGUCAGAAGCACAAUGUCCUGCAAAAAUAUGCCUCCCACUUUUUAUAUAAAAAGUAUAUUCAUUAGAUAUUUCAUAGCGGGCCAGCUCAAACGAGCAAUGCACUGUAUCUUUCAUGGGACUCUGGUUUCUUGUUCCAGAUGGUAAAUCCGACCGCUAGUGCAAGCACCACAACGAUUCCAAGCGUGACCACCAUCACAUUAACUCUAUUUUUCACGUCCUGCAGCGGAGAAAAGCAAUCACUCAAUCUAACAAACAAGUAAAAAACGUACCUUGAUUUCUCCUAGAGACACAGUGUCAUUGUCGCUCACCAUGAGAUAGAAGAUUCCCAUGACACCCGUGUGCUCCUGGGCAGAACUAUAAGAUGAGGAGAAGUGGAGCUUCUCACCGCUCGCGACCAUCAGAGUCCCUGGCUUAGGAAUGCAUGUAGACAUUCCAACAACGUAGCCAUCUUCGUUGCCAGGAGAUGAUCCAUUCCCGUAUAGAGGAGUCGAGGAGCACAAGUGCCGACCAUCCUGGAAAAGCCGCACAAAUUGACAGUCAUGAGAGUUUUUUUUACUUCUUCUUACCUCUCCAUGCAUGCUUAUGCCCAUGCCUGCAGCGUGCUGAUGUCCUACUCCAUAGAUAAUGCUACCCCCUUUUGGAAUCACCAGGUGAUUCUCCAGCUGAUAAAUACAAUCGGAAUUUGAGGACGGGUCACAAGCGGGAACGUCAUACUCGGCCUGCAAGACAAUCGUAAGAAACAUAAGAGAAACUUUUAGAAUGAGGAAAAACGAACUUGGCAGCCAACUUGAGGGUCGACUGGAUCCCGCUUCCUGCUGUCUGUGAUGUCGAAUAUAUAAGCACGAACAGGCCGGACACAUUCGUCCCACUCCACCCAUUCGAUGGUGUAUUGCAUGUAAAGAGUCUUCUUUGGUGCUUGAAAUCCCAGUUUCAUUGCACAUUUGGUCCCUUCAUAGCAGCAAUGCAAACCGCCUUUGUAACCUUGCUUCAAAGGCUGUCCAGAGGCAUCUAUUGUUACGUUGUACAAGCUGCAGCGGCACUCGAGACAUCCUUGGGGAUCAUAUGUUCCUCUGGUGUCGAUGGCAUGGACGUUGAGCAGCCAAAGCUCCUUGUAGCCUUCUGGAGGGUUGCCAACGCCGAUAGCAUAGGAGCCUGGAACAAAGUAGCUCGUGUGUCUCGUCUCGGCACCAAGACCCCAGAACUGUGGAUGGACGUUUUGCUGACAAAUUCCAUCGUUUCCAGGGAUUAUAGCCGCUGACGACCCUAGACGAUCAUGGAAGCCGCCUCUGACCAGCUCUUUUCUCUCGGAGCUCUUCAGGUAGAAGCCAAAUACCACCCAGUGAUGCAAAUAGACUUCGCUGAGAGGCACGGGAUUCCCAAGCUCGUCUACAAUCUCUCCCUGGAAGUUCUUGACGCCGAUAUGACCUUUGGGAAACUCGAUCGUGUAGUUUCGGUUUUGGACCUCUCCCGGCCCCAUAGAAAAAGCUGGAGAUUUGUAAGUCUUCUUCUGAAUUCUGGAAGAUCUGGAGCAGUCCUUAGAUUCUGCUGGAGAUGAAGGCCAUAGCAAAACGAUGGCCACGACCAGAACCAAAAACUUCCCGUCCAUUUUUUUGCUGCUAUUCACCCCCGCCGUGCUCAACUCACCAGAUGGGCCGUAGGACCUUCACCUGUACGGUUUGGACACCGCUUUCAGUCUUACAAGAGCGCAUCCCCGUGCAGUGCUUGGACGAUUCAGCCAAUGUGCUUCCAAUGAGCAAUAGGGCACACGGUGACGUGUGCUAGCUACGAGCUCUUGGCCCACAUGCGGUUUGCGGGGACAAAUCCAAGAUCUCGGGUCCCAGAAGAUCAAUCGGAUAAUGGCAUCGAGCACGUUCGCCCGGCAUUUUCCAUACAUGGACGGCUAGUGACUAAUUAUGAAAGUUGAGAUAAAAAUGAAAACUGCGUAUCACUGAUUUGGUUUUAAGGCAAUUUGAUAAACAUAUAUUAUAAAGAGUUUAAAGAUGUACAUUAUUAAUUUAUGCAAUUUCAUUAAAGUAUUCAAAGUCUCUCCUCCACAAAAAUAUGGAAAUCAUCACAAGCAUAAACAAUGUAAUCACACGUGAUAAAAAAUAGCAAAUUAACACUAAAUGUGGCUUUGAGCCCUUCUCUAACUUAUGCUAAAAUAUCUUCUCCUAAUGAUGCUUUUAAAUAGCCAAUUAUAACCAAAAAAUAUCAUUCAGUACCAGUUUUAAAGGGCUUUGGUGGUAUUUAGGGCAUAUAAUGUUUUGAAAAAACCAAUUCAAUCAUUGAUUAAAAUUAGGGUGGGGCCAAUUUUAGUAUAGCAGGUUAGAUUUAAGCACUUGAACCCUCAUGUUAACAAUAUACACUGUGGGAUAGCACCUGCAACUGGAUAAAUAACCCUUAAGUUGUACACACUCUAUAUCAUUGUAUAAAUUGAGACCUUGUAUUAGAGGAAUUGCCUCUAGAUUAAGAAAAACUGAACACAGCAAGCAAGAGAGAGAGGAAACCUCUAUAAAUUUCUAUUGGUCCUUCUGGAAUUCCUUAUUCCUCUUGAUCACCAAGCUCGAAACCAGAAAAAUGUAUAACUAUUGUUAUAGAUCAAUGAAACUUGAGUGUAGUGGAGAAGUUUUAUUGUCUCUCUAGAUUAGUUGCCCACUUUAGAUCAUGUGUUUGAGGAAUUUGCAAAAGCACUUUGAGGGGGGGAUUGUAGGGGGUUCCAAAAUUAUAGUAAAGAUAAUGGGUUGUAGGGGGUUCCAAAAGUAUAGUAAAGAUAGCAAUGUUAAGACUUUAGUUUUGAAAGAACUUUUUAAUGAUGCUUCCAAAUUAAAUUGAGGUUAGAAUUAAAAGUGAGUAGUCUUAGGUGGGAGUGAGCACAGACUUAAAGAGUGCUAAAGAAGCUCCUCAAAAAAGUGCUCAAGAGCAAUUCUUAUUUCCAGAAAGGAAAUUAAUUGUAAUGCUCUUAACUCAAGUGGAAUGGUGCCCCAUUUGAAUAUCAUAUAGCUUAUUGAUCUUCACCCUAUGUUAGGGGUUUAGGCCUUCCCUUCAGGAUGAAGGUGGGGAGUUAAGAUAUCCAUAUUAGGCCAUUAAUCCAUGGUGUUUCCCUUUAGUGUCUCGGGCUAGGUGAUACAUUUAAGGCUGAAGAUUUAAAGAGUCUUAUAUCAUAAAAUGUUAGAAACUUGGAGAUUUAAUGUGUUUGGAUGUUUGUGCCUAAAGGGAGUGUAACUGAACCUUAAAUAUAGUCUUAUUUAGAAAGGGGUAUAGUAAAAAGUUUGAGAAAUUCUGAAAAGUUGGUUAACACUCAAUUAUUUGUGUAAUAAGUAGUUGAAUUUAAGUAGGACAAAGUCAGAGUUAGCACAAUAUGUGGGAACCUUGGUAAAGGAAUCUAGUAAAAGUCAAAAUAAAGGUGGUUGGAUAGAUGAAGUAAGUUGAUAAAUUGGCAAGGGAAAUAUAUAAUUUACACUUGGGAGAAAGUCUAAAGCAUGCUUUCAUUUGGACAGGGGUUUAUAAAAAGUUUUAAAAUGUAUAGUAUGAUUGGGUAGAUUGGGUAUGGAUGACCAAUUUAAGACAUUAGAUGUGUUUGUCAUUGUUUUAUGUCUAGCUUGGAUCUAAUCCCAAACCCAAAACUAAUAAUUCGUGGAGUACAUAUAUCCCUCGGGUUAUGCUAAAAUAUCACUAGACUUCAUUUAGCUCUAUUUUGCAUAUUAGUCUUGGCAUUUCGAUAUUAAAUACUCUAGAAUUAUUUUAAUUCUAUUUUAUGUAUUUUUGCUCCUUUAUUAUUUAGCUUGGGAGUUAUUCAAUGCUCAUAUUCUUUCAUUCAUUGGCUAUAUGAUUGGGAAUUUAGCUCUAUCCCUUCAUUAAAUGGCUCAAGGCUUUAAAACUCAAGUUUUACUUUGUUGCAUUUCACACAUAUAUCCAAGGGUUAAAUUUUGCUCUACAGUAAACUACUAUAGGGUAUAAAGUGAAAACCAUAUAUAUUAUAUAAUGAGAUUUUAACAAUCUACAUCAAGAAUUGGGUAGAUUUAAAAACUAGUUCUUUACAGGAAUUUCUAGCAAUUUGGAAAGAUGCUUAUGAAGAUUCAAGUGCUUAGUAGCAAUAGAAAUGGGAGCCUAACAGUUCACUAUCAAAACCAUAUACUAGUGGCAAGAUUGAAACCAUAAUAGUGAGCAAGAGUGUGUGUACUAGACACGAUUUAAAUUUAGAUUCAGCUUUGAAUCAACCACUUGAUCAUGAGCAAAAGUGUUUCAACUAAAGAUGAUAUGGUAUAUAGUUAUGCCCAUGUGGUAGUAGUUUCUAUAUAUAUAUAUAGCCAUUUAUAUACAAUUGAAAUACAUUUCUUCCUCCUCGUGUAUCACUACUUUCAAAGCAUAGUAAAACCUGGAAAAGGUAAUUUCCUUGUCAAUCAUUCUUUUUAUUUUAGUUGACAAGAUUGAAUUAAAGGUAAAGAAUGCAACUAUAUCACUUGUUUUGAAUAACAUUUUCAGCCUCAAGUUAGUGACGAUAAAGAGGUUUCUUUUCUUAGUAGAUUAGCAAACAAGGACAUAGUUUAUAAAUUUAUUUAUGUAUUUUAGUAGUAGGAAACUCAUAAAUGGACAAUGUUUGUGAGCUAAUUAUGACAAUUGCAAAGUGAUGUGAUGAUUUGGACAUGUCAAACCUAAGGUGAGACUACCUUGAACCUAUUCUACUAAUAACACAAAAGUAAGAUUUUCAACUUCAAACACAUAGUUAACAUAUAAAUUAGUAUGUGGAAAAUAAAAACACUUAACUCAACAUCAAACUGAGAAUGAAAAUCAUAUUGAUAUGUAAAAAACAAAAAAAAAUUGCAAAUGAGAAGGUGGCUUAAGCUAAGAAAAUAAGGCAAAAUAAAGGAUCAAAUGGCAAAUUAAAAGACCCUAUGAAUUCUCUAACUCAUCUUUAAAAUUAUCUUUAAAGUAAUCAAAUUCCUUAUUAAAAGGAAUCCACUUCACAACUUCCUAUAAACUCAAUCUUUUUACAAAAAACUAGAUUGUAUAAAUUAUAACUCUCUAAUUGAUAUCACAAUUACACUCCAUAUUAGUUAAAGAUGGUAAUAUGAUUAUAUCCCACAACACCAAAAGCUCAAUCCAAUAAAGCAACACCAAUAGCUUUAAGUAAUGAUAGCAUGGCAUAGCAGAAAAAGAGAAUGUAUGAAAACUGAAAAGGUAAUAAUAAAUUUGAUAACUAUAAUCUUAGAUCUGGCAAAAAGUUAACACAAAUCUAAAUCUAAAAAAGAACAAAGGAACAAAAACAAAAACAUAAUUAUGAACAAUCCUAAACACUGAGUAAAGCACUACCCUUCAACCAAAAGUUUGCACUCUUGGAUACAAUGCAAUGCUCUUCACUUCCACUAAUAUGAGCAUUUGGAAUAUCAAAAUAAAUAUCUUACUUGCGAUUCCUUUAUUAUAAACAAGAAUGGAAUUUAAUCUCAAGUAUAUGCUAUAUUACAAUAAUUAAUGUCUUACCUCUAUAUAUGCAUUUUUUUUUCCCAACUUUAUAUAUAUUUAUUAUAUUUCAUAGCAGGCCAUCCCCAAAUAAUCCUAAAGCAAUGCAUUGUAUCCUUUAUGGGACUCUCGUUUCUUGUUCCAAAUGCUAAAUCUGACCACCAAUGCCACCAUUGCAACGAUCCCAAGCGUGACCGCCAUCACAUUAACUCUAGUUUUCACAUCCUGGAGGAGAAAAAAGCAAUUGCUCAAUCUAACAAACAAGUAAGAAACGUACCUUGAUUUCUCCUAGAGACACAGUGUCAUUGUCGCUCACCAUGAGAUAGAAGAUCGCCAUGACACCCGUGUGCUCCUGGGCAGAACUAUAAGAUGAGGAGAAGUGGAGCUUCUCACCGCUCGCGACCAUUAGAGUCCCUGGCUCGGGAAUGCAUGUAGACAUUCCAACAACGUAGCCAUCUUCGUUGCCAGGAGCUGAUCCAUUCCCGUAUAGAGGAAUCGAGGAGCACAAGUGCCGACCGUCCUGGAAAAGCCACACAAAUCGACAGUCAUGAGAGUUUUUUUUUACUUCUUACCUCUCCGUGCAUGCUCAUGCCCAUGCCUGCAGCGUGCUGAUGUGCUACUCCGUAGAUAAUGCUACCCCCUUUUGGAAUCACCAGGUGAUUCUCCAGCUGAUAAAUACAAUCGGGAUUUGAGGACGGGUCACAAGCAGGAACGUCAUACUCGGUCUGCAAGACAAUCGUAAGAAACAUAAGAGAAACUUUUAGAAUGAGGAAAAACGAACUUGGCAGCCAACUUGAGGGUCGACUGGAUCCCGCUUCCUGCUGUCUGUGAUGUCGAACAAAUAAACACGAACAGGUAGGACACACUCGUCCCACUCCACCCAUUCAACGGUAUAUUGCAUGUAGAAAACCCUCUUUGGUGCUUGAAAUCCCGGCUUCACUGCGCAUUUGGUCCCUUCGUAGCAGCAACGCAGACCGCCUUUGUAGCCUUCCUUCAAAGGUUGUCCCGAGAUUUCUGUUGUUACGUUGUACAAGCUGCAGCGGCACUCAUGGCAUAGUUGGGGAUCAUAUGUUCCUCUGCCGUCGAUGGCAUGGAGAUUGAGCACAAAGAGCUCCUCGUAGCCUUCCGGAGGGUUGCCAAUGCCGAUAGCAUAGGAUCCUGGAACAAAGUAGCUCGUGUGCCUUGUCUCGGCACCAAGACCCCAGAACUGUGAAUGGACGUUGUGCUGACAAAUUCCAUCGUUUCCAGUGAUUAUAGCGGAUGGCGAGCCUAGACGAUCAUGGAAACCGCCUCUGACCAGCUCUUUUCUCUCGGAGCUCUUCAGGUAGAGGCCAAAUACCACCCAGUGAUGCAGAUAGAGUUCGGUCAGAGGCACGGGAUUCCCAAGCUCAUCUACAAUCUCUCCCUGAAAGUUCUUGACGCCAAUAUGACCUUUGGGAAACUCGAUCUUGUAGUAUCGGUCUUGGACCUCUCCCGGCUCCAGAGAAAAAGCUGGAGAUUUGUAAGUCUUCCUUUGAAUUCUGGAGCAAUCCUUCGAUUCUGCUGGAGAUGAAGACCAUAGCAAAACGAUGGCCACGACCAGAACGAAAGGCUUCCCGUCCAUUUUUUAGCCGCUAUUCACCCCCGCCGUGCUCACUAGAAAAUCACCGCGGACGAAAACCACUUGUGUGGUAGGACCUUCGUUGCAUGCCGCCACCUAUGCUUAGUGGUUUGGACACCGCUUUCAGUCUGACAAGAGCACAUCCCUGUACAAUGGUCACAGUAUCCAUCUUCUUGGACGAUUCUGCGCCGACGAUUUCAGCACCAGGACUCACUGCCUCACUGAUUUCUGCAAUGAGCACAAGUAAGAAAAUGUCCACGGCUCAGCGUACCUUUGCCACCUGUCAAGAAAAUGAUCGCUCCAUUGUCGAAGUCGAUCGCGUUCAGAUCUUCCGGAUUGUAUUCGAGAGGAAUCGCCUCCCUGUCAAUCACUAGAUUAAGAAAAACUCAACACAGUAGAGAAAACCUCCACAGCCGGUCCUUCUGGAAUUCCUUGCUCCAACCUCGACAAAAGAUAAUACUGCUCCUCGGCAACCUCUUGAGCGGCAUCAUUCAAUGGCGCUGGAAAAGAAAAAAACAACGUGUAACUGUUGUUAUAGAUCAGCGUCACUAUGAAACUUACGUCCGAAAAGACACCUCGAAAGCCGAGACAUCCUGUCCUGGGAUCUUUAUGCCAACGCCAGCCUUCCAGUUUCCCGGCCCUUACUCUGCUGUUACUCGAGUUGCUGAAUUCCCCGCGAGUAGCAUUCUAUAACUGUGCUAUAAGUCGAGGAGGAGAGUUUACUUGAGAACUACAGAGACCCAAGUAGCCUUGAACGUAAUCGUCGGGAAGACACCUGAUGCGCUUCAAGACAUCGGCAUUUGCAUACCUGAGCUUUGUUCGAGGAUCCGUGUAAGGUGCGUUUACAAGGAGAAAAUAACGAGAGGAGAUUACACGGUGGAGAAAUGGCGAGACAGCACCUUACCUCAAAUCCAGAGACGUCGCAGUAUUUCUUGGAAGGAUAAAUGGAAGGAGGCGAUUCGAUGUUAACAUCUGCAAAUGUACGAGGCUAAACAAUGUACGAGGUACUGGUAUGGAAUCAGGAACUCACAGUUGCGGGAAGGAGAUGGAAAUUCUCGGCCUGGACGAUCUGCUUGAGAUGCUUCCAGUGCCUACCUCGCGUGUUGCCCUUGGGAUAGCGCUCCAGGAGCUGCGAUCGCAUGAAUGGAAGAAGCGCCGGGAGCACGCAUUCCGCUGCCUCGAUCGUCGCCGCACGACGAAGACGCCUGCGCUGCAUCACUGAAGGAAUCAUCUCACGAACCCUAAUAGCAUCUAUUCAAACGGAUCUCAUUAUCUACCCCAUAUCUCUCUCUCCAUACUGCAGCUGACCUGUACUGAAAUUUUAUAAUCAACUGAGGGCGAUGUUCUAACAACGGGCUUCAUCGCUAUCCUUGCUCGCACACAUAGCCUAUGUUCGAUAACGCCCUUCUCAUUCACUCUCUGUUAGUCUUCUUAUCAUGGCUGCGGGCGUGGGCGUCUUCAAGCUUCUUGUGGUUGCGGCAGUUCUCAUGUUCACAUUUGUUGCUAGCAUUGAGUCUGCGCGUGUCUUUGGAGGGGACUUUAUUCAACUAGUUCAAGGUGGUAGCAAUCCAAGUUUGAAGUGCCAAGACACAGGAGAUCCUUGCACGCAGAAUAAGGAUUGCUGCAAAGGAGGGUGUCUGUAUCAAGUUGGAAUUUGUGUUGGCUGGUAGGUGCCAAAAUGACAUUGUGCCAUAAGGUUUCCUCUUGCUUGCAUCCUGGUCACAAUGUCACAACUUCUAGAAGAGGGUUUCUUCCAGUUGUGCAGAUCUACAGAUUGACACAAGCUAUUGGAACAAUAGCACUGAAUAAUGAUUGAAAGAAGAAUUUCAGUGCUCCCCAAUUCUUGAAGGUCCCCAUUUUUCUUCCAAUUCUGUUGUUUGAGGACAGUCUUAUGACCUUAUACUCUUUCUUUUUUUUUUUGGUUUUUUCUUCUCCUUAGUCACUUCUUGGCUUGCGAUCAUCUAGGAGCACAAGUUUGUAAGCAAGCUUGUAAAUCUCAUUGGUGUUGUUAUGCGGACAUGGCAAUAGUUUUUAUGUAUAUGUACCUAGAGUUGAGACAUACACUCCUUGUAUGCUGAUCUCUCCACUACUUUUAUCUUAUCAGAACAAUUAGCUCCUUGAUCUUGGGCAUGGGAUUUGUUAAUCAAGAGGCCAAUGACAAAGAGGAUGAGUUUUUUAUUACAAUCCCUCUUGGGAUGUUUGAUGAGGUGUUGGAUGUGUUAGAGGUUUGAAGUAUCACAAACUUGAUUAUAGGUAUUAAAAAUUAUGUCUUUCUACUGCUAAAAAGUCAAUAUUGUUAGACCCUUUGCCAAAUUAACAUAAACCAAAAGGGCACUAAAGAAGAAAAUUUUAAUUAUUAGUUUGCACUUAUUACUAUUGGGUUUGUGAUAUUGAGUUUGGUCCCUCAAUAUUCGCUAAAUAAUAACUUACUGUGUUUAUUAAAAAUACUCUUGUUCAUGUGUUAAUCCCAUUUUGGUUCUAUAUAAUAAUUAUGGAAAGUAUAUAAAUCUGCUACUUAAACAUAUCUAGGAAAUGUAAAGAGUGUUAUUCCCAAAUUCAUAAUUUAUCAUCAUUUUAUAUUUAAUAAUUUUUUUAGAUUAUCCUAAAGAAUAAAUCCUAGGAUUUGGGUGAAAGCCUAAAGCAUGCAUAAAAAAAUUUAAAUAUAUAAUAAAGAUGGGUAAAUUGGGUAUGGAUGACUAACUUGAGAUAUUAUAUAGCUUCUAACAGAUAUUAUGACUUGAGAUAUUAUAUAGUUUUAUGUAUAACUUGGGUUUAACCCCAAACUCCAUACCAUGUUCGUUUGUAGAGUACUUCAUAUCCUUCUGUUAUGCAAAAAUAACUCCUGUUAUACUAAAAUAAUAUUAAACUUUAUUUGGCUUUAUUUUGCAUAUUAGUCUUGGCAUUGGGAUAUUGAAUGCUCUAAAAUUAUUUCAAUGUUACUUUAUGCAUUUUUAUUCCUUCACUCUUUAGUUGUACACUUAUAAUAAAACUCAAGUUUUAUUUUGUUGCAUUUACCACAUAUGUCCAAGGGUUAAGUUUUGCCCUAUAGUAAAUUACUAUAAGGUAUAGAGUGAAAACCAUAUACACUACAUAAUAGGUGAUUAAGAUAUUUUAACAACCCACAUCAAGAAUUGGGUCAAGAUUCAAGAACUAGUUCUUUACAUGAAUCUUCAGCAAUUUGGAAAGAUUCUUAUGAAGAUUCAAGUGCUUAAUAGCAAUAGAAGUGAGAGCCUAAUAGUAAACCAUAUACUAAGAUUGAAACCAUAAUAAUGAGCAAGAGUGGGUGUGUAAAUAAAGCUAAAAGUAGUUGAUUGAUGAGUUUUUUAAAUGUGUUCCCCAUACUUAUUAUCUCAUACUAACUAGGCAUGGUUUAAACUUUGAUUCAACCUUGAAUCAACCACUUGAUUAUGAGCGAAAGUGUUUGCGCUAAAGAUGAUAUCAUAUGUAAUUAUGCCUAUGUGGUAGUAGCUUCUAUAUAUAUGUACCCAUUUAUAUAAAGUUCAAAUAUUUUCUUCCUCCUCAUGUAUGCAUCUCUCCACUACUUUCAAAGCAUAGUAAAACCUGGAAAAGGUAAUUUUUUUGUUGAUCACUCUUUCUAUUUCAAUUGACAAGAUUGAAUUAUGUCAAUAUAAUAUACUCUUGACCGAAGUAUAUUUCUACCCUAAAUUGGAAAUUGUAUGUAUUAGGCAUUCAUGCGUCUUGUGGAGUAUCUAUAAACAAAAGUAUUUACUAUGGGACCAAAGCAAAUAAUAUAGGUUUGAUUCCCAUUGAUUAGUAGCUAUUUAAAAUAUACAGACAAAAGUAUCUAUGGUGGGACUGUGGCUCAAUAGGGGUAAAAGGACAAUAAGGACAUUCACAUUUUUGCAAUGGAGUAUCUACAAACAAAAGUAUCUACUGUGAAACCAUAACUUAGUAGGGGUGAAAGGAUAAUAAAGACAUUUACAUCUCUAAAGUAGAGUAUCUAUAGACAAAAAUAUCUACUAUAGGACCAUGGCUCAAUAAAGCUGAAAGGACAAUAAGGAUGGGACUGUAGCUUAGUAGGGGUGAAAGGAUAAUAAAGAUAUUUACAUCUUUGAAGUGGAAUAUCUACAAACAAAAGUAUUUACUGUGGGACCAUAGCUUAGUAGGGGUGAAAGGAUAAUAAAGACAUUUAUAUCUCUGAAGUGGAGUAUCUACAAACAAAAGUAUCUAUUGUGGGACCAUAGUGUAAGCCACAAAUUUUUCUUUUCCAAUUUGCCAGCUUACCUCGUCUAUCCGUCCAACACCGCCUUGGCCUUUGCUAAGUUCCCUUGCCAAGGUUCUCGCCUAUGGUACUAGCUCCUACUUGGUCUCAGCUACUUACUGCACGAGCAACGGAGUGUUAGCCAUCCAUCUACGGAUUCCCAAAUCACUCCCAAUCCCCCUCCCCGGGUUAGACUGGACUUAAGGUUCGGCUACACUCCCCGCAAGCACAAGCAGCCAAGCACACCAAGCUUCCAGGUUCCUAACUUCCCUCGGUACCACAAGACUUGAUCAUGGGACCCUCUAAAUCCCAAGUCUUGAGUGCAACACUUGCUUCGGGACGCCGGGGCGAAACACCGUGGCCUAGCGGCCCGGUAUGGGUACCUCUCGCCCCCCACUUCCAUCCCGAAGGAAGGCCCAAGCCCCUAGGAAGGGCGAGGACCAAUGAGCCGCAUGGUACUCAAGUGGGGCACCACUCCACAUGAGCUGGGAGCACCGCAAUUGGUUUCCCUUUCGGGAGUGGGAGCUGCUCUUGAGCACUUCCUUGGAUGGCCCCUCCGGCACCAGCCAAGUCCAUGCUCACUCCCACCCAAGGCCCCUCGGUCCCAGUCCCAACCUCAAGUCAGUUUGGAAGCCCAACUGGAGAGUCCCUUCAAAACUGGUUCCUGGACCUCACUAUCCCUACUAUACUUUUGGAACCCCCUGCAGCCCCCCCCCCCCCCUGGGAGACGCACGCUUUGGGCUUUCACCCCUUGACCCGUAUUAGUAUUUGGACUUAGUCUCUGGCUCGAUCUCGGACCCGAUUUCGGAUCCGACUUCGGAUUCGGGUUUGGACUCGAUUCCGGACUCGAUCUCGGACCCGAUCUUGGACCCGACCUCGGACUCGACCUCGGACUCGGUCUUGGACCCGAUUUCGGAUCUCGGACUCCGUCUCGAACUCGGUCUCGAACUCGGACUCGAACUCGGCCCCCGAGCCGGUCUCGGACUCGAUUUCGGACUCCAUCCUGAACUCGGUCCUAGAGUCGGUCUUGGACUCGAUCUUCGACUUGGUCCCAUCCGAUGAACUCUUUGUCAUUUUGGUCAUGCUUUCGGGGUUCCUUUAGCCUACGACACCUCGGCGAGUUGGUUCCUUACAACUCCACCACCCAUAGAAGAAGUUCGAUGCCCACAUCGAACGUCUCGUUUUAUCCUACGACUUGUUGACCAUGUCUCCGGGGGCAUCCCCCCACUUAGCGGUGUGCCUAAGUUAGCCUCCCCGGCCAAGAGCCCAUGACAACGGAAUAUAGAUGUCCCUAUACUCCUCCCCUCACCACGUCCUAGUAUAGGGUCGGGACUUGAACCCAGCCUUGCUUUACUAGGGGGUUGGGACUUGAACCCAACCUCCGUAGAAUACGUCUACGGUUUCGACAUCCCCGCAGGGAGUCGGGCGUAGCUCCCUACGCCUGGUCGACCUAGCUAACCCAUGCUAAUUAGCUUACCUUCGGCGCGCCUUCGGGUCCCAAUAUAUGCCAUUGCUCAACUUCUCAAAUUGAUACUUUUAAUUGAACUUUGCAUAAGUACAUAGAGUUCUGCCAUGCAGAAAUUCCUCCACUAGAUCUCGCGCGUUCACUAGGUUCUCCUCUGGUUCCCAUGUUGCUUCGCAGUGUGGAAAUCCUUUCCACUUCACAUGGAACUCUCUCACCUCGUGUCCUUGUCGCUUGCUCUUGCGCGCAUUGAGGAUGGCCUCGACUUCGUAUUCCUCUUCCCCUUGGAUAACCUCAGGUAAAGGUAUUACUUGGUCCUUGCGAAGCGGAUCCUCAAAGUACGGCUUGAGUAAGUUCACGUGGAACACUGGGUGCAUCUUCCCCAUCUCUCGAGGAAGUCGGAGUCGGUAAGCCACUUUACCGAUUCGUGCCUCAAUCUCGUAAGGCCCCGCGAACCUGCUUAAGGAACUCAAGAUCAAUUCAUUUACAGGAAUACAUGCAUUUUUACCUUUGGGUCAACUUUCGGCUGAUCCCACUUGGUAGCCUGAGGUUCUUGGUGUUCAGCCACACCUUCUCCCCAGCUUGGAACUCCACAUCUCGGCGCUUUAGGUUCGCAUACUUGGUUUGCCUUUGUUGAGCCCGUUCCAAGGAAUCCCUCACUAGAUUCCAAAUGUUGAGUCUUUCCGCCGUAAAUGCCUCCACUGCGGGUAGCUCUCCAUGAUACUCGGCCACGCCGAGUUCCACAGGACCUUCAAUAGCUCGCCCAUUGAUGACUUCCCAUGGACUCACCCCGAUACUCGAAUGUGGUGAGUUGUUAUAACACAUUUCCGCAAGUCCCAAAUGACUUACCCAGUCGGUCUGGUCUCCCGAGACAUAGCAUCGCAAAUAAUCCUCCAGCUGCCUAUUCACCCUUUCCGUUUGUCCGUCUGUCAAGAAGUGUUAGUGCCAUCAAUCUUGACUCAAUACCCAUUACCUGUUUGUGGGUGAUAGGCCGUGCUGAAUUUCAACUUGGUGCGAUACUGUUCUAGGAGUGUCCUCCAGAACCUACUGGUGAAGAUCUUAUCUCGAUCUGAGAUAAUCUCUUCUGGCCUUCCCCGCACUCGAACCACUUGUUCGAAGAACAGCUUCGCCACACCUUCCGCAUCCACAUCCGUUGUGGUGGGUAUGAAAUGUGCCAUCUUUGAAAAUCGGUCCACCACCACGAAUAUAGCAUCGAACCCCUCGCUUGGGGGUAGUCCCGUGAUGAAGUCCAUCGUGAGACAUUUCCACGGACGAUCUGGAAUGGGGAUGCUUUGCAACAAGCCCCCACUAGCCUUCGUCACGGCUUUGACCUGCUGACAUGUUGGACAUGUCUUUACAUAGUCUUGGACGUCCUUAGCCAUAUCUGGCCAGUGAUACUUCCUUUUGAGUAAGCCCAUCGUCUUGGGCACUCCGCCGUGUCCCGCGAGAGGUCCGUCAUGACACUCUUCCAAGGCUACCUUCCUUAGUUCCCCUUCUGGAACAUACACCCUCGUUUGCUUGUAAUAUAUGAGUCCGUUGCGUUCCGCAUAGCCCGUUUUCUCUUCCGUUGGCAGCUCACCUCUCUGGUGAGCUUCCCGCGCCUCCAGAUUCCUCAGCAACACUUCUUGUGCUAGACCAUCACUCUCGUAUGCGGUCCGCACAUCGUCCCAAAAGGUUGCUGUCGCGCUAGAUAUCGCCAACUUCAAGCUCGCUUUUCGACUUAGCGCAUCUGCCACGAUGUUGCUCUUCCCAGGCUUGUACAGGAUCUCGCAAUCAAACUCGGCCAAAGCAUUGGCCCACCGACCUUGUUUUCCCCUUAGGUCGGGCUGUGACAAGAAGUGUUUCGUUGCCACAUUGUCCGUGUAAACCUUGAAGUGUCUCCCAAGGUAGUGUCGCCACUCCUUGAGCGCCUUGACCACCGCAAACAAUUCCUUCUCGUGGGCAGGCCACUUCCGUUGAGCCUUGUCCAGCUUCUUCGAGAAGAACGCUACUGGAUGGUUGUCUUGCUUCAAAACUGCGCCCAACGCAAAGUCCGAAGCAUCCGUGUCUACCUCAAAGUCCUUACCAAAGUCUGGUAAUGCCAACACCGGAGCCUUCCUCAACUUCCCCUUGAGGUGGACGAAUGCCGCCUCGCAUUCCGCUGUCCAUACCAUCUUCCCUUUUCCUGUUUGGUCCGUUAAGGGCAGGGCUACUCUCGAAUAGUGUCUGAUAAACUUUCGAUAGUAGUUGCAUAGCCCCAGGAACGCCCUCAACUCAUGUACAUUCGAUGGUCGUUCCCAUUCCUGGAUCGCUUGGACCUUCUUCGGGUCCACCUUGAGCCCGUCCUGGCCCACCACAUGCCCGAGAAACUUUACCUCUUGUUGAGCAAAGUCACAUUUGCUCUCUUUAGCAUACAGUUUGUGUUCCCUUAGUUUCUCAAACACUUUCGCCAAGUGUUCGGCAUGCUCCUCUAGCGUCUCGCUAUAGAUCAGGAUGUCGUCAAUAUAGACGACCACGAAGCGAUCCAGAUAGGGUACAAAGAUGUGGUUCAUCAACGCCGAAAACGUUGCCGGCGCAUUGCACAGCCCAAAGGGCAUCACCAGAAACUCAAAGCUCCCAUACCUCGUUCGACAGGUUGUCUUCUCGACAUCUUCCUCAGCUACCCUGAUCUAGUAGUAUCCUGACCUUAGGUCAAUCCUCGAGAAGUAUUUUGCCUUUCCCAACCUAUCGAACAGGUCCUCGAUCCUUGGCAAAGGGUACUUGUUCUUCUUGGUAUACUUGUUGAGCAACCGGUAGUCUAUGCACAUGCGCAUAGAUCCAUCUUUCUUUUUCACAAAUAGCACCGGCGCCCCAUACGGCGACUUACUCAACCUAACAUACCCUUUGUCCACCAACUCCUCUAGUUGGCUCUUGAGCUCCUUGAGUUCUUUUUCGUUCAAUCGGUAGAGUGGGCGAACCACCGCCUCAACACCCUCGACCAGCUCAAUCUUAUGUUUUAUCGGUCGUGCGGGGGGCAACCCCGCCGGUAGCUCCUCCGGCAUCGUAUCCUGGAAUUGGUCCAGCACCUGCUGGAUCACUAAAGGUACUUCUUCCGUUCUUGUCUUUUUGUCACUCUUCACCGAGAGUAAGCACAAAAAGGCUGCCUUAGUUCCUUUAGUGAGUUGUCCUCUCGUGGACACCAGGUUUAAGCAUGACUCUUUGGCCUUGCUUUGCCCUACCUUUAGAUCUUGGGCCUCCACCCUAGAUCUUCUUCCUUGGGCAUUCGCCAAUACCACAAGGUUCCUACCUUGUCCAUGCAGGGCUACCACGAACCGAUUAAACAAAUCCAUUCCGAAGAUCACGUCAAAUCUCGCCAUGUCCAAGACGGUGAAAUCCAUGUCCACUUUCCAUGUCCCCACUUCGACUCUCGCUUGUCGAAGUACCUCAUCGGUGCUUUGGCUACCUUGAACAAACUCUAUAGUCCUUGGUUCGCCUAGCCGCUGCACCGUUAGUCCGGCUUGCCGGACUAUGUCUGCAGCCACAAAAUUAUCCGAAGCACCCGUGUCAAUAAGGAUCUUAACAAAGCUACCUCCGAGCUUCCCUCGGAGGGCUAGUAGAUGUCGCGAACGACUCUCUACCAAAGUUGCUCGUGUAAUGAGUAACUUUGAGUUAGGGACUGGAUCACAUACCUCAGUUUGGACUUCACCCGACUUGAUGGCCAUAUUGGCUCUGGCCUUCUUCGGGUAGGGACAUUCCCUCGAGAAGUGUCCCGCUUCGCCGCAGUUGUAGCAUAUGUUGUUUCCCACGCUGCUAUACGACUUGACCUUCUUAUCCAUGGGUUUGUCUUUUUUCGCUUGACUCCCCCACGUACUCGCUCGCUGGCCACCGGAUUUGCCUUUCCGGAACCCCGAGGACUCAUUCUUAGAGAAACUCUUUUUGAAUUUCCCCUUGCUAUACGUUCCCCUUGGUUUGGCCCCUUUGCUAAAUGUGGAUCCCGACCCCGUCGUGUUCCCCUUUCGCAGGUUAUCGUUGAAAUGCACCUUGAUGGCCGCAUCCAACGCUUCUUUGUAGUUGAUCGGGUUCCACCGCAUCACCUCACCGCGAGCCCAGGUUUGCAAACCUGAUAUGAAGGCAUGGAACGCAUCCAUAUCCCCCAUGUCCGUGACAAGUAUCCUCUUUGCCAUGAACCCAUUCACAUAUUCCUGGAUGGUUCCAGUCUGCUUCAGCCUACUCAGCUCAUCUCUCAGAUGUAGAGUGGCAUUCGGAGGAACGUAUGUUGCGCGGAUCCUCGCCUUCAUCAUGUCCCAAGUGGCCACUAGUCCUUCGUUGGCCUCCGUCGUUCUCCACCAAGACUUGGCAUUAUCUGCCAAGUAUGGUUUUGCACAUGGGACCUUCUCCGAGCUCGGUAACCGCAACGCUCGGAAGUAGUCCUCCAUAUCGUAAAACCAAUCCUCCACCACCUUAUAGUCAUUCACUCCCUUGAAGACCGGUGGGGGCUUCGGUUUGUACUUGGGAACUGCCUGAGGGACUGAUUCUACUUCGGUCUGUUCGACCUUGUCUGGUUUUGCCUCAGUCCCGGCCGAAAGAUCCGCACCUUCUGCGCUGCCAGCAUCCGCAGUCUUUUUCUUUUUCUUCUGCCUCUCGUCACGCUUUAGCUUGCGUACGAGAGUUUCCAGCAGGGCAUUGGUCUGUGCCAAUUGUCCUUCUAGCACGUCCAAUCGAGCCUUGGACGACCGAACCUCGCCACCGGACUCUUGUUUGGAAGUUUCCUCACUAGAGUCCUCCUCAUGCAAGGAUUCCUCAUCCAUAGCCUCUUGUUCGACCGGAGGCUCCAGCUCCGGCGGAGGUUCCGUCUCCGCCUGGGUUCGCUUACGCCCUGCCCUUGCCAUCUCCCAGCAAUCCGCCUCUAUCCUUCGCUAGAACUGAGAUAAAGGCUCCGAUACCAAAUUGUAAGCCACAAAUUUUUCCUUUCCAAUUUGCCAGCUUACCUCGUCUAUCCGUCCAACACCGCCUUGGCCUUUGCUAAGUUCCCUUGCCAAGGUUCUCGCCUAUGGUACCAGCUCCUACUUGAUCUCAGCUACUUACUGCACGAGCAACGGAGUGUUAGCCAUCCAUCUACGGAUUCCCAAAUCACUCCCAAUCCCCCUCCCCGGGUUAGACUGGACUUAAGGUUCGGCUACACUCCCCGCAAGCACAAGCAGCCAAGCACACCAAGCUUCCAGGUUCCUAACUUCCCUCGGUACCACAAGACUUGAUCAUGGGACCCUCUAAAUCCCAAGUCUUGAGUGCAACACUUGCUUCGGGACGCCGGGGCGAAACACCGUGGCCUAGCGGCCCGGUAUGGGUACCUCUCGCCCCCCACUUCCAUCCCGAAGGAAGGCCCAAGCCCCUAGGAAGGGCGAGGACCAAUGAGCCGCAUGGUAUUCAAGUGGGGCACCACUCCACAUGAGCCGGGAGCACCGCAAUUGGUUUCCCUUUCGGGAGUGGGAGCUGCUCUUGAGCACUUCCUUGGAUGGCCCCUCCGGCACCAGCCAAGUCCAUGCUCACUCCCACCCAAGGCCCCUCGGUCCCAGUCCCAACCUCAAGUCAGUUUGGAAGCCCAACUGGAGAGUCCCUUCAAAACUGGUUCCUGGACCUCACUAUCCCUACUAUACUUUUGGAACCCCCUGCAGCCCCCCCCCCCCUGGGAGACGCACGCUUUGGGCUUUCACCCCUUGACCCGUAUUAGUAUUUGGACUUAGUCUCUGGCUCGAUCUCGGACCCGAUUUCGGAUCCGACUUCGGAUUCGGGUUCGGACUCGAUUCCGGACUCGAUCUCGGACCCGAUCUCGGACCCGACCUCGGACUCGACCUCGGACUCGGUCUUGGACCCGAUUUCGGAUCUCGGACUCCAUCUCGAACUCGGUCUCGAACUCGGACUCGAACUCGGCCCCCGAGCCGGUCUCGGACUCGAUUCCGGACUCCAUCCCGAACUCGGUCCUAGAGUCGGUCUUGGACUCGAUCUUCGACUUGGUCCCAUCCGAUGAACUCUUUGUCAUUUUGGUCAUGCUUUCGGGGUUCCUUUAGCCUACGACACCUCGGUGAGUUGGUUCCUUACACAUAGCUCAGUAGAGGUGAAAGGACAAUAAGGACAUUUACAUAUCUAAAGUGGAGUAUCUACAAACAGAAGUAUUUAUUGUGGGACCAUAGCUUAGUAGGGGUGAAAGGACAAUGAGGACAUUUACAUCUCUGAAGUGGGUGUGAGUAUCUAUUAUGGGACUGUGGCUCAAUAGGGUGAAAGGACAAUAAGAACAUUUAUAUCUCAUGUGAUCAUAGGAUAAAUAGAGAUAAAAUAGCCACUAAAGGUUCUUUAAUUAAGUAAUUACCCCUUUUCCAAUUGACUUUAAGGGCUACCACCAAUUUUUAUAGGAUAUAUAUCUUUUUUUAUUGGUGUUCUACCAUCUGUAACUGAUAUAGAGUGUAAUUAUGACAUCAAUUGAAGAGUUAUAAAUGAUGCAAUUUAGUUAUUAGACAAUGUUAAAAGAUUGAGUUUAUAUGAAAAUGUGAAGUAGAUUCCUCUUAAUAAAGAAUUUGAUUACUAUAAGGAUAACUUUAAAGAUGAGUUGGAGAUUUGAUAAGAUAGAUAUUAAUCAUUUAAUUUGCCAUUUGAUCCUUUUUAUGGCCUUUUAAUCUUUCUUAACUUUUUUCUUAUUUCUUAGCCUAAGCCAUCUUCUCAUUUGCAAUAUUUUCUGUUUUUGAUAUAUAAAUAUGAUUUUUAUUUUUAAUUUGAUGUUGAGUUAAGUGUUUUUUGUCCUCCUCAUAUUAAUCUAAAUGCUAAGUAUAUGUGUGAAGUUAAGAAUCUUACUUUUAUUUUAUUAGUAGAAUCUUUAACACCCAAAGUUCAAUGUAGUCUCAUAUUUGGAAAAUUCAGGUUCAACUUGUUUAAAUUAUCACAUUACUUUUCAAUUGUCAUAAUUAACUCACAAAAAUUGUCCGUUCAUACAUUUCCUAUUACCAAAAUACACAAAUAAAUUUAUAAACCAUGUCCUAGUUUGCUAAUUUACUAAGAAAAGAAACAUUUUUAUCCUCAUUAAUGUGAGAUUUGAGAUUUAUCAUAUUUUAAAUAGCCACUAAUCAAUGGGAAUUGAACUUAUGUCAUUUGCUCCAAUACCACAUGUAGCACACUCUAUUUCUCUCCUCUUAAGCCAAUUGGAAAAAAGGGUAAUUGCUUGAUAAAAGAGUUCUUAGUGGUUAUUUUAUCUCUAUUUAUCACGUAAGGUUUAAAAGAUCCACAGUGAUAGUAUAUUUGAAUCUCAUCCCAUGAUCAUAUGUGCUAUAAUAACAAUACAUUAAAGAUAAGAAACAUUAAUAUAAUCACAUCCCACAGCACCAAAAACUCAAUCCAACGAAGCAACACCAAUAUCCUCAAGUAAUGAUAGUAUGGUAUGGUGAAAAAAAAAGAAUGUGAAGAUUGAGAAGGAAGAAUAAAUUUUAUAACUAUAAUCUUAGAUUUGGCAAAAAGUUAACAUAAAUCUAAAUCUAAAAGAGAAUAAAAGAACAAAAAUAAAAACAUAAUUACAAACAGUCCAUAACAUUGAGUAAAUCACUAUCAAAAACUUUCCUCUCCAACAAAAAAACUUUGCACUCUUAAAUACAGAUUGCAAUUCCACUAAUAUAAGCAUUCAAAAUAUCAAAAUAAAUAUCUUAAUUGGGAUUCCUUUGUUAUAUACAAGAAUGUGUGAGUACAUGGAAUGUAGAAAUAGAAUAUAAAAAUAUCCAUAUCAAUUAGCCCAAAAACCAUAACUUAUAUACAAAAGCAAGUGGUUCAGAUUGAAACCAAUUCAAUAGCUAUUAAAAUCCUUCUAUACUAAUAUUAAUAUAUGGUAUUGUAGCUAUACAUUUGGAACUCACAUCAUCCCUUCCUUUCGGAAUGAUGGAAGAUAGUUAGGGUUAUGUAAUGGAUGGGUUGGGAUCUAGAGGAAUAUCAAGAGGAAGCAUUGGUAGAUCUAUAGGUGAUGCUAGUUGUUCAUAAUCUCUUUGUAUGAAGCAUUUCAGCCGUUGCAUAUGAACAAUUUUUGAAAGAUUGACUUGUUGGACAUUAUGUUGAACCUCAUAAACUUGCAAUCUAAUUUGCCGCAACACUUGAUAUGAUCCCUUCCAUUGAGCAAGGAGCCUCUUAGACAAACCACAUACCAUAAGAUUGGGAAAAUGAACUAACACAAAGUCAUCCACUUUGUACUUUGCAAGUAGACAAUGAUGGGAGUUGUAGUGUCAUUGUUGUCCCACUUGUAUGCGGCCCAGGUGUUCGGAAAACUUUGCUCAGACAAGUGGAAAAAUGCUUUUCAAAUAUUAAUCCCAAAACCUAGCAUCGACAGCUCGUGGCAAUCAUGAAGGGAAACUCAACUUCGUUAGUAGUAUUGGAUCAUGACCAUAUAAGAGUUUAUAUGGUGAAGCACCAAUAGAACUUUGCAUCUUUGUGACAUAUGCAUAUCAAAGAGAUGGCAAAUAACUAUCCCAAUCUAAAUAUUGAAAGUUCACAUACUUUGCAAUCAUCCCUUUGAAGGUCCAAAUGAGCCAUUCCACUAAACCAUAUGACUGUAGAUAAUAAACAUUUGUAAAAGUGUGGUGUAUCCUCAACUAAGAUAUCAAAAUGUGAAAAUCCUUAGCUAUAAAUGUAGGAUUAUUAUCUGAAAGAAUUCACUCCGGACAAGAAUGCUAGAACACUACUCGAUUAAGGAGGAAGUAUCUAACAACAGUUGCAAACACACUAGUAAGAGCACUGACUUUCACCUAGUGAGUCAUAGUCAAAAGCAAUAAUGACAUACUCAUUGCUAGUAAUUGACUGUGGAAAAGGCCCCAUCAAAUCAAAUGCCACUAACUAAAAUGGACAAGAAGUUGCAAUUGACUCCAACUAUCCUUUCGUAGCACAAGAGGGAGUAUUAUGAGCUUAGCACUAAAUGCAGCUACACAUAUGCCAGAUAAUAUUAUAUUGCAUCUCUGGCCAAUAAAAAGACCUAUGCAACUUCUCGAUCACAUGAUAAUAUCCCACAUGCUCAUCUAGAAUAGGAGAAUCAUGGUAAGCAUGAAAAAAGCGUGGAAUAAAGAUAAAAGGCAUCACCAGCUGUAAAUGAUUAUUAGGAUCUAUCCCCUAUAAAUGCUGAAAUAGCAAGUUAUUAGCAAGUGAUGUAAGAUUCUCAAACCUAUUGCAAAGCUUUCGAAUCCAUGGCUCAUCUUUUAAGCCUCACAAAUCUUAUCAAGAAAAGGUAAAUUUUACUCUACACCUUAUGGACAUUAAAUAUCAAGUACAACAAUUGCCGAUGGCACAGAAUCCUUAUCCAAAAAAUCCAUAAAUAUUGGAAUAAUAGACUUAUCAAAAACAUGAGAAAAGAACAAAGAAGGAAAAGGAGUUCAAGAAAGGGCAUCAUCAUUAGCUAUAAAAUUCCUUAGACAAUGAACAACAUCAAAAUUAUAUAUAUAAAGCUUCAAAGCUCAUCAAGCCGUACGAUUAACCAAGUUCUUCUGCUUAAAUAAUAAAGUAACUAUAGUAUAAUCACCUUUUAGUAAUGUUUGAGAACCAUGUAAAUAUACAUAAAGUUUCUCGAAACCCCCCAACAACUUUCUAGUGGAUAAUGGACAAGGUUCUUUGUGAUAUGCCAAAAGUCACUGCUAACUUCAUCGAUGAUGUCUUGAUCCACUUAGAAGGGACGUAGGAGGAACACAUAUGUAAUGUUCAUAAAGUGUUAGAUUGGCUACGGGAAGUUGGUUUAAAGUUGAAGUGAUUAAAGUGGUUGAAGUGUGUGUUUGGUUCCAAGGACACAACUUCUCUUGAAUAUUAUAUUUUUCGUAAUAGUUUGUAAGUUGGUUUUAACAAACUUGUGGCUGUUUCAAAGUCCUUUAUGCCGACGUGUGCGAAUGAUAUGCAAUACUUCCUAGGCAAGGUGCAAUAUCUCAAUUGUUUUGUUGAUCAUCUUUCUAGUCAUACUACACUAUUGUGAGUAUUGUUAAAGUCAUCAAUAUCAUCUUUCAUCUGGUAUGUGGACUGUAAACGGGCUCUCAAAAAGUUAUUGAUAACUCCUUUAGUUUUGGCAUAUCCUAACUAUACUUGACUUUUCAUUUUGCAUAUGGAUGUUUCUAAUAUCAAUUUUGAAGGUGUGUCAAUGCAAGAGAGCUUGAGUAUGCCUAAUCAGUGCCAUCCCAUUGCAUAUAUCAGCUAGACAUUACAAUCAUCAGAGUUGAACUACUCCACAAUAGAGAAGGAGUGUUUAUGUUUAGUAACAAUUUAGCACUGUUCAAAUCAAAUAGCAUCUCUAAACAUUCGUACAAACCAAAUGAUAUACAAAAAGCAAUCAAAGGAAUAUCUUCCUCAGCCAUCAACACUUGCCAGUACCUAAAAGCAAAAUCUAGCUUGGUAAAUCAAUGACUUCUCCCUAGAUGAUCUAAAAGAUGACUAGUGUGAAGAAGAAGGUACAUAUCCAAAAUCAUCACUUUGUUUAACGGAUGAUAGUCGAUGCAAAAACAAAUACUCUCAUUAUGCUUCAUCACAAAAUGAGGUUCACACGUCUAAAGAUUCUGUGACUUUUGAAUAACACCUUUUUCCAACAUCUCCUUAACGUUGAUAUGUAAAAUUAUGAUCUUUUUUGGUGACCGACAACAAACGAAAACUUUGAUUGGACAAGCAUCCCCAAUUGGAAUAGGAUGACGUGUUACAAUUUUGGCCCUAGAUAACAGAUCAAAUUCAAAAAGAUCAAUAUACUCCUUCAUGAACUGGUCAAUUGCUACAACACAAAGAUUGUCAGUGGGAUCCAAAAAAGGAACAAAAGAACAAAAUGAAAAUAUAAGAAAAAGUAAUGGAGAGAUAAAAGUGAUGGAAACAAAAGUAGAAAUAAGAUGAAAAGAUAUAAAAGUGAGAGGAAUAAAAGAAAUAUAAAAAAGUAUAAAACAAAAGUGAGAAGCCUCAAAAUCACAUUUGGCAUUAUUGUGCCACAACAAAUCUAUACCAAGAAUGAGGUCAAAAACUUGAUUUGGCACCACCCGCAAUGAUUGCAACUCAAGUUUGAGAUCUCCCACACACAUAACUAGAUCCACCUCAUCCUAUGUACAUACGUGUGUAGCCGUUGCCAUAAAGAAUGAAAACUAGCUCUGAUGUAUAACGCAAAUGUAGACGAUAACAUGUAGUAAUAGGCUAAGCAAUAGAAGAUAAACUCAAGUCUGUAUCAACCAAUACAAAGAGAAUAAUAGAAGAACUUUUGUGAUAACAACAAGCUUAGAAAGUAAAUACCAGAUCGAAUGAACCCCUUAAUGAUACUUUUGAAAGAAAAAUGGAAAGGUUACUAACUUAUUCACGCAAGGACCCUCUGUUACUCAUGCAACUCCUCAUUUCCCAUUUCUCAGUGUUCAGACUUUCCACUGUAGCAGCACUAAUAAGAAAUUGUUGAUGCCAAAGUCUCCACCUAGGAAAUGGAGGUUGCCAAUCUGGAAAAUGCCGAUAACGUUAAUAAAUGUGAUUAACUUCAUCAUACACCUAGCAAGGGACAUCAUAGCCACGACCACAUCCUCGCUCUUGUCCUUGAAUUCAAGCAGCAGCAGCAUGAACCUCCAUAAGAACAUGACUAUCUUCUAUAGGAAGUAAAGUUGAAGGAUGUGUAACAAAAAGUGGAAGAGGCAACAUUUUAUAAUAUUGUGCCAAGUGAAAAGCAUUGUAAAGAAUGGUUAAAGUAAGUGUAUGCAUAAGUCUUACAAAAUCUUAACAAAAUGUUAGCUACAACAUUCCCAAUUUGAUCCACUUUAAUAUAUUUGGUUCUGCACAAAGUAAAAGGCUUUGAAAACAAAUACUAAAUUACAUCACUGACUCAAAUUGACCUUGAUGAAGACAAUGUAAUUGUUAGAAGGCAUAAUCACAAUUAUCAACAUGUCUAAAUGUGCAUUUAAAGAUAUCUGAAAGAAUGCUCCAAUCCUUAUGAGUGGUUGUGCUCAAACCAUUGUACCAUUGUAAUGCCAUCCUUUAUAGACACUUGGAAACUCACGCAAACGCUAAACAUCUUUCCAAGAAUAAUAUGUGGCAAUCACCAUAAAGUGAUCAAACCAAUAGUACCCAGGAUUCUUAUAGAAGAUCUUUGGCAAUACGUGAAGAUUGGCAACAAGAGCAAGAAAAGUUGUACCAUAUGCCAUGAAUAUCAUUAUCAACUAAGACUGAUUAUUCAAUUGCAACCACAUAACAUUGAGUAAUUACACCAAUUAUUGCAUUAGAGUCAAAAAGGGGAGGAGGGUGCUACUCUACCAUGAAAUGAAUAAAAAGGAAAAAAGCAAAAGAAAAGAAAUUGAAAAAAUUAUAAAGAAAAGGAGAUUUAGACAAUGCAAAAGUUGAAUUUAAAGUAGAAUCCCAAAUCCAAGCACUCCUUUGAGACAAUCAAAAUUGCCCCUCACCUCCACCACGUAUAAAGGAAUCUAGGAGCAGAAGUGCCAACCAUCCUGGAAGAGCCGCAUAAAUUGACAGUCAUGCAGAUAGACUUCGGUCAGAGGCAUGGGAUUCCCAAGCUCAUCUACAAUCUCUCCCUGAAAGUUCUUUGACCUUUGGGAAACUCGAUCUUGUAGUAUCGGUCUUGGACCUCUUCCUGCUCCAGAGAAAAAGCUGGAGAUUUGUAAGUGCUCCUUUGAAUUCUGGAGCAGUCCUUCGAUUCUGCUGGAAAUGAAGGCCAUAGGAAAACGAUGGCCACGACCAGAACCAAAAACUUCCCGUCCAUUUUUUAGCUGCUAUCCACCCCCGCCGUGCUCAACUCACCACAUGGGUCGUAGGACUUCACCUGUAUGCCGUCACCUAUGCUUAGUGGUUUGGACAUCACUUUUAGUCUUACAAGUGCUUGGACGAUUCAGCGACAAUUUCCGUACCAUGAGUCGCUGUCUUCAAUGUGCUUCCUAUGAGCAAUAGACCACACGGCUUCCAUAGACCAGCUCUUGGCCCACAUGCGGUUUGUGGGGAUAUAUCCGAGAUCUCGCGUCCCAGAAGAUCGAUCUUGUCGAAGACAAUCGAGACCUUCCAGAUUGUAUUAGCGGAAUCGCCUCUAGAUUAAGAAAAAUCGAACACAGUUCUUGUUCCAACCUCGCUUGAAAGAAAAAAACCAGAAAAAAUGUAGAACUGUUGUUAUAGAUCAGAUGAAACUGGACUCCGCGGGGGACUGCAGUGGAGUUUUAUUGCACCUCUCUCAAAACUUCUCCGGUUCUUCUUCCUUCUAAAAAAACUCUAAAAAAACACUAAAAAAGUUGAUCUGCACAACCACGAAGUUUAUAGUUCUCAUGAAAUUUUUGAUCUUUCAUAUUCGAACACAUACUCGCAAACUGUGCAGAAGUUUGAUCAUCCUUUUUUCCCCAAAUGUAUAGACAGAUAUGAGCCACAAAUAAUCUUAUCAUGGCAAUGCACUAUAUCCUCC
rnacentral:lncRNA from 1 species